AAACAGCGUUUGUUCUCCACCAUAUGGUCCACAAUGUGGCUCCACCACACCCUAACACCAGUUGUCAGUGAUUAGCAGAUUGGGCAGAGGACGGACAGUGUGUGUGUGGCCUGAGUGCGUUGGUGGGGCAGGAUUAAUCAUUACAGUGCAUCUGUGCUAGCAGCAGAAGCGUGGCAUGAUGCCUAACCGCUGCCCUCGUUUUCCGGUCUGGUGGCUGCGUAAUGACAUGCCCUUUAACUUCACAUCCUGUGCGAUGAUCGCACUUAAUCGUGACCUGGACCCUGCGACAUGACAAAAAGACACCACUAAAUGGAGUGUCAAAAACUGACGUUCAUGAAACCGACAGAAACCGACUGCAGCUUGACAACAGGGGCAACAGGGGAAAACCGGGACUAUGACGGGAAACAGGCAGAGAUCCAAAACACAUAGAUCCAUAAAUCAGAGAGUUAGGCGAAAAAUAAAAAGGCUUGGCAAUGCUAGACACAAUCAACACCAUAUUAUUUGUCUAGGCCUAACAUCUAUGAUUGCGAGAUAACAUCUGAGGCAGAUCCAGACCAGCUAUGUUCACGUGUCUCCACACAUUUGUAGCACGGUUGCCAAACCUGCCAAAAUCAACCCGAUGUCACAUCAGGAUCGCUUCCAUCCAUGAUAAACACAUAAAACUCAUUAAACCGUCGGACACUUGGAUUGCUUGAUGAAUGGGGAAAAAAAAGCUAAAAUUCAUCAGGCUGCAAUGCAUUUUGUGCAGCUUUUCCUUUGGCUAAUCACAUGUUGCACACACGAUUGCUUUCGGCAAUCUCACAAACCACACACAACCACAUGAAAGGAAAAAGAGGAAAGUAAAAAAAAUAAAACACAAAUAAAACGUGAGUUGCAUUUAGAUGUUGUGUAUGGGGAGAGCAGCACAUGCUGUCAGUGUUUGGGGAAUUCAAACACACACACACACACAGCUUUACUUAUACGUAUAUAACAUAAAUGUAGCAAACACAUUUAUUGUAGCAGUCCAGUGAGUUUUUUUUUGUGUUGUUGUUGUUGCUUAAAAGCUUAUUGCAACACGUCUGAUAUAAAAUGAGUCUGGACUCUGUAGCCUUUCAGUGUGACACAUGGACCUUCAGAUUAACCAGUAAAAUACCACAUGGUUAUUACAGCUUCCUUUUAUCACUUACAUUAUAGCAGCUAGUUCCUUUAUCAUCUUCACCCACAGAAUAUUCUCUAAAUAUACAAUAUAUACUAUGUUUCGUUGAUGCUUCAUCAUGUAGGUUUAUUUGCAAUGAUUUUGGACUCACUUUGACUUCUCUGCAGUUUACUGACUGACUCAACUGUCAUAUUUACAUUUACAUUUACAACCAUAUUUCAGUUUGUUGAUGGCUUCCAAGAAAAUACCUUCAGGGUAAAUCUGUCUGUAUAUGAUACUGUAACUAACAGAAAUAAAAGUUUUUAGUUUUAUAGCAGAGAAGUUGGAGAAGGUUGAGUUGCAGAUUGAUUGGUGGCUGUUGGAGAUCAUUAGAUCUGGAGUUUGAAUUUUAUAACAUUUCUUUAUGUGAAAUGUUUUGUAUUGUGUUCAUCAUAAAAAACAAACAAACAAGGGAA